AUACGUAGGUGACAAGCGUUAUCCGGAUUUACUGGGCGUAAAGGGCGUGUAGGCGGUCUUGCAAGUCAGAAGUGAAAUUCCUGAGCUCAACUCGGGCGCUGCUUCUGAAACUGCAGGACUUGAGUGCUGGAGGGGAUAGCGGAAUUCCUAGUGGAGCGGUAAAAUGCGCAGAGAUUAGGAAGAACACCGGUGGCGAAGGCGGCUAUCUGGACAGUAACUGACGCUGAGGCGCUAAAGCGUGGGGAGCAACCAGGAUUAGAUACCCUGGUAGUCCUCGCCGUAAACGAUGGGCGCUCGUCGUCGGCGACAGACAGUCGGCGGCCAAGCGAAAGCGAUAAGCGCCCCACCUGGGGAGUUCGGUCGCAAGGCUGAAACUCAAAUGAAUUGGCGGGG
rnacentral:rRNA from 1 species